UACAGAGGGUGCAAGCGUUAAUCGGAAUUACUGGGCGUAAAGCGUGCGUAGGUGGUUUACUAAGUCAGGUGUGAAAUCCCCGGGCUCAACCUGGGAACUGCGCUUGAUACUGGUAAACUAGAGUUUAGUAGAGGGAAGUGGAAUUCCUCGUGUAGCGGUGAAAUGCGUAGAGAUGAGGAGGAACACCAGCGGCGAAGGCAAUCCCCUGGACCUGUACUGACGCUCAUGCACGAAAGCGUGGGGAGCAAACAGG
rnacentral:rRNA from 1 species